GACGAACGCUGGCGGCGUGCUUAACACAUGCAAGUCGAACGGAAAGGCCCUGCUUUUGUGGGGUGCUCGAGUGGCGAACGGGUGAGUAACACGUGAGUAACCUGCCCUUGACUUUGGGAUAACUUCAGGAAACUGGGGCUAAUACCGGAUAGGAGCUCCUGCUGCAUGGUGGGGGUUGGAAAGUUUCGGCGGUUGGGGAUGGACUCGCGGCUUAUCAGCUUGUUGGUGGGGUAGUGGCUUACCAAGGGUUUGACGGGUAGCCGGCCUGAGAGGGUGACCGGCGACAUUGGGACUGAGAUACGGCCCAGACUCGUACGGGAGGCAGCAGUGGAGAAUAUUGCACAAUGGGCGGAAGCCUGAUGCAGCAACGCCGCGUGCGGGAUGACGGCCUUCGGGUUGUGAACCGCUUUCGCCUGUGACGAAGCGUGAGUGACGGUAAUGGGUAAAGAAGCACCGGCUAACUACGUG
rnacentral:rRNA from 1 species